AGAUGAAUGUGCUGCCGUGAGGUGAAGCAGCCCACAGCCCUCUUGCAGCAAUCCUUCAGGUGACAUGGCGGUCACAUGCCUGAUGGUCAGCAAUGUGAUUCCAGGCCACUGCUUCUGGAGACUUCCACUGCCCCAGCUACAGGACAGAGACACAGCUAUUUUCUCCAUGGUGGACUUACUGAGUCAUUGAAUCGUCAAGUAACUCAGGUGUGAAACGAUCCCACAAGGUCUGUAGUCAUGCUCAAAGGGACAACUACAAGAGUGCACCAGGUUGUUACAGGCUUCAUCCAGAUAAGUAUGUAAAGCUUAUAUGUAAA
ensembl:lncRNA